rnacentral:rRNA from 1 species
CAUGACAGUCAUUGAUCGUAUUACCUAAUCAAAUUCAAACAUCACUGAUGUUAAGCAACGUUUCGCGUGGUUAGUAUCCGGAUGGGUGACCACCUGGACAAUCGCGUGCUGCGGACC